GAUGAACGUUGGCGGCGUGGAUUAGGCAUGCAAGUCGAGCGGAAAGGCCCGCAAGGGCACUCGAGCGGCGUAAGGGACAGUAAUGUGUAGGUAACGUACCCCUGGGUCGUAGGAUAGCUGCGGGAAACUAGCAAUCAAUACUAGAUAACGUCUCCGGACCAAAGGUAGUGAUUCCACCUGGGGAGCGGCCUACAUCCUAUUAGCUAGUUGGCGAGGUAAUGGCUCACCAAGGCGAAGAUGGGUAGCAGGUGUGAGAGCACGACCUGCGUCACUGGGACUGAGACACUGCCCAGACACCUACGGGUGGCUGCAGUCGAGAAUCUUCGGCAAUGGGCGAAAGCCUGACCGAGCGACGCCGCGUGUGGGAUGAA
rnacentral:rRNA from 1 species